UGGGGAAUUUUCCGCAAUGGGCGCAAGCCUGACGGAGCAAUACCGCGUGAGGGAGGAAGGCUUUUGGGUUGUAAACCUCUUUUCUCAGGGAAGAAGCUCUGACGGUACCUGAGGAAUCAGCAUCGGCUAACUCCGUGCCUGCAGCCGCGGUAAUACGGAGGGGGCUAGCGUUGUUCGGAAUUACUGGGCGUAAAGCGCGCGUAGGCGGGCCGGUCAGUUGGGGGUGAAAUCCCGAGGCUUAACCUCGGAACUGCCCUCAAAACUACCAGCCUUGAGUCCGGGAGAGGUGAGUGGAAUUCCUAGUGUAGAGGUGAAAUUCGUAGAUAUUAGGAAGAACACCAGUGGCGAAGGCGGCUCACUGGCCCGGUACUGACGCUGAGGCGCGAAAGCGUGGGGAGCAAACAGGAUUAGAUACCCCCGUAGUCC
rnacentral:rRNA from 1 species